GCCCGAAUGGCUCAGUGGUAAAGCGUCUCACUAGUACCUUGUUCCUCUUCCAGAUUUCACGAUCUGGGGUUGAUAUGUGAACGCGAUGAGAAGAUCGGCGGUUCGAUUCCGCCUUUGGGCA
rnacentral:tRNA from 1 species